rnacentral:snRNA from 1 species
GGAUGUGAGGGCAACCUGGCUAUAACAUCUGUUACCCCAUUGAUUGCCAGAGUUGAGUCAGCUAAUCUGGGUGACUAGAUGGGUGUUCCCUUUCUCCCUCAUCACUCCAUGUGCAUCCCCCCCUGAAGUUGCACACUAGGUAGAAGAAGAGGACCAUCCCUGAUAGAGGAGAACCUUAUUUUGGUCAAGGUCAGGCAUGUAGCUGUAUUCCUCUCCUAGAACAUCCAAGCAAGUUUUCAAAAUUAGCAUCUAUGAAAUACAUGUACAUAAUAUGUGAAUAACUUUUAUUUUGU